ACAUCAUUUGAGUGAAGUUUUACUAAAAAUUUUUUGUAUGAGUGUUUUGUUGUUUGAAUAGUUGAUAUGAUUUUGGUGAGCUCAAAAUUUGGCAAUUUGCAUCAGCUGCGGUUUGAACCAUUGAUUAAGUCUAAUAUGUAACGUAUGAACUGACUGUAUUAUGAAUAAGAAAAGGAUAUAUUGUAGACAAAAACCCCAUCAAGAAGGUUGAUUGCAAAAUUCUGGCCCCUCAUCAAGGAAGCUCUGGAAUACAGCCACUAGGAUACUUGGUUUAAGAUUUGUGGAUAAAGAUUUUGUCAUUAGAAAAAUUUAGAUUAAAGAAAUGUUUUAGGUCGCAAGUUGUGUAUCUUUCUCCUCUGCUGAAAAUUUUGAGGGAGAUAUGAAACAGCUCAUCUCUCUAUCAGAUUGAAAGAGAAAUAUUGCAGAUAGGAGAUUGCGAGAACUACUUUUGAAUUCAUAAUUAUUUUGUAGCCCUUAAAAAUGCUUAUAGCUAUUAUCUAACAGAC
rnacentral:lncRNA from 1 species